CUGAAAAGUUCUCUCAAAGAACCUAUCAAUACCCCAUUGUUUACCUUACCACGUUGCUUCCACUGGACAGGCCAGUCUCUCUUUGAGGGACCAGCCCUCUGGCGUCGACCUCAAAAAUCGAUUUGCUGGGGAGUGCCGGUGGAUAGCCUCUCAAACAAAAAAACUUUUUAAACUAUACCGUCUGAAUAACUGUUUUAUAACAAAAACAUUAUA
rnacentral:misc_RNA from 1 species